AAUCCAUGAUGUGUGCAGCAUUGUAGUAGGUCCUUGUACCUCUCCCAAGUGUCGUACAUUGACUCAUUGUCAAACUGCAUAAAAAAAGAUAUGUCAUCUCUAAGUUU
rnacentral:snoRNA from 1 species